rnacentral:rRNA from 1 species
UGGGGAAUUUUGGACAAUGGGGGCAACCCUGAUCCAGCAAUGCCGCGUGUGUGAAGAAGGCCUUCGGGUUGUAAAGCACUUUUGUCCGGAAAGAAAACGCCGUGGUUAAUACCCGUGGCGGAUGACGGUACCGGAAGAAUAAGCACCGGCUAACUACGUGCCAGCAGCCGCGGUAAUACGUAGGGUGCAAGCGUUAAUCGGAAUUACUGGGCGUAAAGCGUGCGCAGGCGGUCCGCUAAGACAGAUGUGAAAUCCCCGGGCUUAACCUGGGAACUGCAUUUGUGACUGGCGGGCUAGAGUAUGGCAGAGGGGGGUAGAAUUCCACGUGUAGCAGUGAAACGCGUAGAGAUGUGGAGGAAUACCGAUGGCGAAGGCAGCCCCCUGGGCCAAUACUGACGCUCAUGCACGAAAGCGUGGGGAGCAAACAGGAUUAGAUACCCUGGUAGUCCACGCCCUAAACGAUGUCAACUAGUUGUCGGGUCUUCAUUGACUUGGUAACGUAGCUAACGCGUGAAGUUGACCGCCUGGGGAGUACGGUCGCAAGAUUAAAACUCAAAUGAAUUGACGGGGUCAUAGC